AGGGACAGGCAAGGAACAGACUGUUGGGCUCUUCCUGCUGCUGAAAAUUCACUGGGCACUGGAGGAGGAAAUCUACCUUCACUCUUCUGCCCUGAAUGUUUUCCCAAACAUGAAGGUAAGAUAGUAAUUUCAUUACAUUUGUGAAGGAAGCUAUCUCAAAAGGGAGUAAGGCUUAGCUGAAACCACUCAGAAAAGGAGAAGGCACGAAAGAUAGGAAAAAUUAACUUAUUGGUUUGGAGAUCUGGCAAUCAAGAUUGGAGACAAUGUUUGUGAGAAUCCCAAGAAAGUCAUUGAAAAAUGCAAUAAGACUCUUGUUAUUUUUCAGGGAAAGAUUUCCUCCACCGUGUUUUGUUUGUUUGAUUUGGAGUUAUACAACGAGCCCCUGUGAUUUAACUUAUCAAAGGGCUUUGUAGGAAACUGGAUUUGGAGACUUGGGACUUUAGGAUUUGGAAUCUGGAUGAGAGCAUCUUCUACUUUGUGAAAGUAGAAGAUACAGAUAGAUGGAAUGAAACUAAAGGUUUACCAAAAAAUAUAUAUUGGCCCAAUGCAAAAUAUCCAAAUGUUUAAAAAAGAAAAAAAAGACAGAAAUCACGCUCAUAGACCAGAUUUCCGGGAUGUAAAAAGAAGUGAAAUUGCUGCUACAAUUUUAUUAUUGCAAAGUUUUCUAUUUAAAGUUAAAAAAAUUGACAUUAUAGUGCUGCAACAAUAAUUUCUCAAGUCCGCCAACUGCUAGAUUGCUUUUGCGGCCACUGUGUAAUUUGCAAUACUGAACCUAUGCUCAUUCUUCAGUAGGGAAGUUGGAGGAGGAGUGAGACAAGGGUCUUGAGUUACUCAUGUGUGAAAUUACAUUCAAUUAAAUCAUUGAAAAUUAAACACAAAUCACAAAGUUAAUUUGUUUAAUAUUAUGAUUUUAGAAUGCCAAUAACCAUACAAACUCAGAAUCGCAGUGAGUCUAAUCUCUACGACUUUGUCUUGUAUUUUAUUUAAAAGUUUAGAACAUUUUCUUGCACACACAAAGAGAAUAUAAUGCCGUUCCUAGAGUCAUCUAGCUAAUAUGCUUUCUCCUAAUAUUUGUAUUAACCAUCAAUCAAUUUCCUUACUUAUUUUAUGAUGAGACACCUUAAUAAUUGUUUUGUGCUUAAAAAUGGGUUCAUAGUUAUUGAUUAUUAUGGUAUUUUUCUGCCAGAGUAGUAAAUGUACUUUUAUCCUUCAAAUGGCUGAUUAAAACGAUGAUUAAAGAAAUGAUUUACUUGCAAGUUGCAUGUGGAGUUCUCGUGUCUAUUUGAAAGUAGAUAUUCAUAUUUUUACAGUAAAUCUGAAGGGCAUGCUUUUGUGGAACAUUUCAGAGAAGGUAAACUUAGGCUAUGAAGACAUCACAAGAAAUGGUUUCCAGGUCUGGCCUUUUAUUUUACUGUAAUUUAAUUUUUUUGGCUACACCUCCCUGCAUGCAGAAGUUCCCAGGCCAGGGAUUGAACCUGCACUGCAGCAGUAACUAGAGCCACAGUAGUGACAAUGCCGGAUCCUUAACUUGUAAAGCCAUCAGGGUACUCCCAGGUCUGGCCUUUUAAGAGGGACUAUUCUUUUUGUCUCCCCCACCCCAUUCCUGUGAACUAAAUUCAGAGAAGUGGUCCCAGAAUUCCUUUGGUUCUCUUUGUAUCCCUUGGAUAGGAAAUAAUUGGGUCUGAAGUGUUUGAGGACUUCAGAACAAAAAAUGUUGCUCUCUGAGCUGGCUGUGGUCCAGACUUUCACUCUCUCAUCCCUGCACUGAAAUGAACCUGGGGUUUGUCAGCCUAAAGCGUGAUUCACACGGGGCUGGGAUGUGGUCAGGAACAGUGGUGCCUCAGAUGAGGGUCUCUCUGCUUCCUCGCCAUCCAGAGCUGAUGUGAUGUUAUCAGCUGUCUUCUACCAA
rnacentral:lncRNA from 1 species